ACUCGCCCCGGAUGUGCCGCUGCAGCGCCAGGUACGUGAACUUGUACGGAGCCUCCGUCUGCACCAUUCCCCAGUGCUGCCGCCAAACCAGCUGGAUCGUCUUCGGGACGUCGGUGUCGCAGUCCAGCCCUGCGGACAAGCGCGCUUGGGGAGGGGCUACGGAUGGGGGGAAGGUGCCGGCAGGCAGGGGCGGGGCUGCUGAUGAGGGGCGGGGCUUGCCGGUAGCGGUGGGGUCGUCCUGAGGGGUGGGGUCGUCCUGAGGGGUGGGGUCGUCCGGAGGGGUGGGGUCGCCCGGAGGGGUGGGGCUAUAGCAGGGCAGGGCGGGGGGACCCAGAGUGGAGCGGCUCGCCCUGCCUGCGGAUGACGUCCACCAGGAUGUCAAUCACGAUGAUGGUGCCCGUGCAUCCGAUGCCCCCACUGAGGACAAACUAGGCGGCCUUUGACGAGAGUGGGGGGCGGGGGCGGGGGCGCCCCCGCCCACCCGAUGGCUCCGCCCUCGUCGUCCCGCGUGGCCCCGCCCCGCCGCACCUGCACCUGCACAGCCCGCGUGGCCCCGCCCCGCCGCACCUGCAUCUGCACAGCCCGCGUGGGCCCGCCCCGCCGCAGCUGAAGUGCACCACCAUGGGCCCGGCCCGCGGCUUGCUGCUCUGGGCCCGGUUCACCUCGUCCCGGAAGCCGAGGACGCCGGCGGGAUCGGCCCGGACGCCGUAGUCCGGCCAGCCGAAGUACUGGAAGUGCUGCACCGUACGCUGUGGCUCCUCCUGAGCGGGGCAAGCGGCCGACAGCAGGCACGCUCCACAGCCGCCAGGCUCACCUGGCCCGGCCGCCACACCUGCAGCUCCCGCACGCAGUAGCCCUGGGCCUGGCCCUUGCCGAGGACGCGCAUGUGCACACGGCCGAACUCUUGGCUGCCGGGCAGCUCUGGCCAGUCCCGGAAACACUUGUUCCGAGGGGAGCGCUUUGCAUCAGCCUUGCUGGCAGCACCUCGGCACCCCGCCCCUGCGACCUGCAGAGACGCAGACCCUGUGGUGAGCAGAGAUGGAGGGUCCAGGGUAUGCAAGGGGGAGCCUCAGGAACCGGCAUUCCUGCUGCUGCAGCAUCUGGAGGUGAUGGAGCCUUCAGCUCACAGCCCCGGCCCCUUCCCAGAGCCCGAGAUGGCCACCCCCAGCCCGUCCCGUGUGGGCGGAAGAGUACCUAGGUGCCGAGCUACCUAAGAGGGAAGGGCCCGCUGUCCUGUGAUCACGUGACUUGCUUCACCUUGUCAAUCACUUAGAAGACUGACCCUCCUUAUCCUGCCCCCUUGUCUUGUAUGCAAUAAAUAUCAGCGAGCCCAGCCGUUCAGGGCCACUACCGGUCUCCGUGUCUUUGUGGUAGUGGUCCCCGGGGCCCAGCUGUUUUCUCUUUA